GAAAGCCGUGUGCGGGAGAACCGCAUGCACGGAUUGAUGGGGGGAGGUUGAUGGACGACAGUGUUCGGCUGACACGUAGUAGCCGCGUGCGGCGAGGCGUUGAUGAAAGUCUCCGGCAAUGGUCUGAUAUCAGCUUCCUAACUCUACCCACU
rnacentral:ncRNA from 1 species